rnacentral:rRNA from 1 species
AGAGUUUGAUCAUGGCUCAGAUUGAACGCUGGCGGCAGGCCUAACACAUGCAAGUCGAACGGUAACAGGAAGCAGCUUGCUGCUUUGCUGACGAGUGGCGGACGGGUGAGUAAUGUCUGGGAAACUGCCUGAUGGAGGGGGAUAACUACUGGAAACGGUGGCUAAUACCGCAUAACGUCGCAAGACCAAAGAGGGGGACCUUCGGGCCUCUUGCCAUCAGAUGUGCCCAGAUGGGAUUAGCUUGUUGGUGAGGUAACGGCUCACCAAGGCGACGAUCCCUAGCUGGUCUGAGAGGAUGACCAGCCACACUGGAACUGAGACACGGUCCAGACUCCUACGGGAGGCAGCAGUGGGGAAUAUUGCACAAUGGGCGCAAGCCUGAUGCAGCCAUGCCGCGUGUAUGAAGAAGGCCUUCGGGUUGUAAAGUACUUUCAGCGGGGAGGAAGGUGUUGUGGUUAAUAACCACAGCAAUUGACGUUACCCGCAGAAGAAGCACCGGCUAACUCCGUGCCAGCAGCCGCGGUAAUACGGAGGGUGCAAGCGUUAAUCGGAAUUACUGGGGCGUAAAGCGCACGCAGGCGGUCUGUCAAGUCGGAUGUGAAAUCCCCGGGCUCAACCUGGGAACUGCAUUCGAAACUGGCAGGCUUGAGUCUUGUAGAGGGGGGUAGAAUUCCAGGUGUAGCGGUGAAAUGCGUAGAGAUCUGGAGGAAUACCGGUGGCGAAGGCGGCCCCCUGGACAAAGACUGACGCUCAGGUGCGAAAGCGUGGGGAGCAAACAGGAUUAGAUACCCUGGUAGUCCACGCCGUAAACGAUGUCUACUUGGAGGUUGUGCCCUUGAGGCGUGGCUUCCGGAGCUAACGCGUUAAGUAGACCGCCUGGGGAGUACGGCCGCAAGGUUAAAACUCAAAUGAAUUGACGGGGGCCCGCACAAGCGGUGGAGCAUGUGGUUUAAUUCGAUGCAACGCGAAGAACCUUACCUGGUCUUGACAUCCACGGAAGUUUUCAGAGAUGAGAAUGUGCCUUCGGGAACCGUGAGACAGGUGCUGCAUGGCUGUCGUCAGCUCGUGUUGUGAAAUGUUGGGUUAAGUCCCGCAACGAGCGCAACCCUUAUCCUUUGUUGCCAGCGGUCCGGCCGGGAACUCAAAGGAGACUGCCAGUGAUAAACUGGAGGAAGGUGGGGAUGACGUCAAGUCAUCAUGGCCCUUACGACCAGGGCUACACACGUGCUACAAUGGCGCAUACAAAGAGAAGCGACCUCGCGAGAGCAAGCGGACCUCAUAAAGUGCGUCGUAGUCCGGAUUGGAGUCUGCAACUCGACUCCAUGAAGUCGGAAUCGCUAGUAAUCGUGGAUCAGAAUGCCACGGUGAAUACGUUCCCGGGCCUUGUACACACCGCCCGUCACACCAUGGGAGUGGGUUGCAAAAGAAGUAGGUAGCUUAACCUUCGGGAGGGCGCUUACCACUUUGUGAUUCAUGACUGGGGUGAAGUCGUAACAAGGUAACCGUAGGGGAACCUGCGGUUGGAUCACCU